CAACCUUUGCCACACUCUGGCCAUUACCGUCCGAUUUCUAUCGGAAUUACAAGCUCCACGGUAACGGCCUAUUUUGACGCAAAGAAGAUAAAAUUUCUUGACCUGUUACUCACCGCGAUAUCUUUUCGGAAAGGAUUUCUUUUUCGAGGUGGAUAUAGUGGUCCAUCUUUGUUGGUCUACAU
rnacentral:snoRNA from 1 species